GCAAACUUGGUCAUUUAGAGGAAGUAAAAGUCGUAACAAGGUUUCCGUAGGUGAACCUGCGGAAGGAUCAUUAACGAGUGAGGGUCUCCUGGGCCCGACCUCCCAACCCAUUGUUUACCAAACCGUUUGUUGCUUCGGCGAGCCCGUCUCCACGGACCGCCGGGGGACCGUGAUAGGUCUCCUGGCCCGCGCUCGUCGGUGGCCCCAACCUCAAAAACUCUUAAUUAAACGUGUCUUGACUAAGUUCUAAUUUUUUAAUUAAAAGCAAAACUUUCAACAACGGAUCUCUUGGUUCUGGCAUCGAUGAAGAACGCAGC
rnacentral:misc_RNA from 1 species